GACGGAGGAUGCAAGCGUUAUCCGGAAUUAUUGGGCGUAAAGCGUCCGUAGGUGGACAUACAAGUCUGCUGUCAAAGUGCAGAGCUUAACUCUGUAAAGGCGGUGGAAACUGUAGGUCUUGAGUAUGGUAGGGGUAGAGGGAAUUCCCGGUGUAGCGGUGAAAUGCGUAGAUAUCGGGAAGAACACCAGUGGCGAAAGCGCUCUACUGGGCCAUAACUGACACUGAGGGACGAAAGCUAGGGGAGCGAAAGGG
rnacentral:rRNA from 1 species